CCCGGUGAAAAUAGUGGGUCACCUGCCCGGUGAGAUAUUAAACGGCUGCGUAAAUGUACUAAGGUAGCAUAAUAAUUCGUCUUUUAAUUGAAGACUGGAAUGAAUGGUUAGACGUGGAUUAUCUGUCUCUUGAGAAUAUUGUUAAUUUUUCUUUUAAGUGAAAAGACUUAAAUUUUUGUAAAAGACGAGAAGACCCCAUCGAGUUUAAUUAUGUUGGUAAAUAGUUUUACCUCUAAAGGUUUGUUGGGGCAACAUAAGAUGAAAGGUAUCAUCUUAGAGUAUAAUAGAGAUCUUUUAAGUGAAAACACAGCAAAAACUACCGUGGGGAUAACAGCGUUAUCUUCUUUUAGAGAUCAUAUUGAGAAGAAGGUUUGCGACCUCGAUGUUGGAUUAGGGUUACUUUUGGGUGCAGCAGCUCAAAUAGUGAGACUGUUCGUCUUUUAAUUCCCUACAUGAUCUGAGUUCAGACCGGA
rnacentral:rRNA from 1 species